rnacentral:rRNA from 1 species
ACGGCUCAGUAACACGUAGUCAACCUAACCUAUGGACGGGAAUAACCUCGGGAAACUGAGAAUGAUGCCCGAUAGAACACUAUACCUGGAAUGGUUUGUGUUCCAAAUGAUUUAUCGCCAUAGGAUGGGACUGCGGCCUAUCAGUUUGUUGGUGAGGUAAUGGCCCACCAAGACUAUUACAGGUACGGGCUCUGAGAGGAGUAGCCCGGAGAUGGGUACUGAGACACGGACCCAGGCCCUAUGGGGCGCAGCAGGCGAGAAAACUUUGCAAUGUGCGAAAGCACGACAAGGUUAAUCCGAGUGAUUUGUGCUAAACGAAUCUUUUGUUAGUCCUAGAAACACUAACGAAUAAGGGGUGGGCAAGUUCUGGUGUCAGCCGCCGCGGUAAAACCAGCACCUCAAGUGGUCAGGAUGAUUAUUGGGCCUAAAGCAUCCGUAGCCGGCUCUGUAAGUUUUCGGUUAAAUCUGUACGCUUAACGUACAGGCUGCCGGGAAUACUGCAGAGCUAGGGAGUGGGAGAGGUAGACGGUACUCGGUAGGAAGUGGUAAAAUGCUUUGAUCUAUCGAUGACCACCUGUGGCGAAGGCGGUCUACCAGAACACGUCCGACGGUGAGGGAUGAAAGCUGGGGGAGCAAACCGGAUUAGAUACCCGGGUAGUCCCAGCUGUAAACUAUGCAAACUCAGUGAUGCAUUGGCUUGUGGCCAAUGCAGUGCUGCAGGGAAGCCGUUAAGUUUGCCGCCUGGGAAGUACGUACGCAAGUAUGAAACUUAAAGGAAUUGGCGGGGGAGCAC